AAUGGCAGGUCAGCAUACUGCCGUGAAUACGUUCCCGGGCCUUGUACACACCGCCCGUCACACCAUGAGAGUUGGGGAUACCCGAAGCCUGUGAGCCAACUUUUUAAGAGGCAGCAGUCGAAGGUAGAAUCAAUGAUUGGGGUGAAGUCGUAACAAGGUAUC
rnacentral:rRNA from 1 species